GAUGAAGAACGUAGCGAAAUGCGAUAAGUAAUGUGAAUUGCAGAAUUCAGUGAAUCAUCGAAUCUUUGAACGCACAUUGCGCCCCCUGGUAUUCCGGGGGGCAUGCCUGUUCGAGCGUCAUUUCACCACUCAAGCCUCGCUUGGUAUUGGGCAACGCGGUCCGCCGCGUGCCUCAAAUCGACCGGCUGGGUCUUCUGUCCCCUAAGCGUUGUGGAAACUAUUCGCUAAAGGGUGUUCGGGAGGCUACGCCGUAAAACAACCCCAUUUCUAAGGUUGACCUCGGAUCAGGUAGGAAUACCCGCUGAACUUAAGCAUAUCAAUAAGCGGAGGA
rnacentral:misc_RNA from 1 species